GACGAACGCUGGCGGCGUGCUUAACACAUGCAAGUCGAACGGAGUGGCGAACGGGUGAGUAACACGUGGGUGAUCUGCCUUUCACUUCGGGAUCAGCUUGGGAAACUGGGUCUAAUACCGGAUAGUGCAAGAUGAGCUCGCGGCCUAUCGGCUUGUUGGGGGGGUAAUGGCCUACCAAGGCGUCGCCGGGUAGCCGGCCUGGGAGGGUGUACGGCCACAUUGGGUCUGAGAGACGGCCCAGACGCCUACGGGAGGCAGCAGUGGGGAAUAUUGCACAAUGGGCGGAAGCCUAAUGAAGCGGCGCCGGGUGGGGGAUGUAGGCCUUCUGGUUGUAAACUCCUUUCGUCUGAGACGCGGUACCUGUAUAAGAAGCACCGGCUAACUACGUGCCAGCAGCCGCGGUAAUAC
rnacentral:rRNA from 1 species